UACGGAGGGUGCGAGCGUUGUCCGGAAUCAUUGGGCGUAAAGGGCGCGUAGGUGGCCCGGUCAGCGUGCGGUGAAAGCUCGGGGCUCAACCCCGAGUCGGCCGUGCGAACUGCUGGGCUGGAGCACUGUAGAGGCAGGCGGAAUUCCGGGUGUAGCGGUGGAAUGCGUAGAGAUCCGGAAGAACACCGGUGGCGAAGGCGGCUCGCUGGGCCAGUUCGUGACACUCAUCCGCGAAAGCGUGGGGAGCAAACAGGGAUUAAGAUGACCCUAGUAACGUCAGAC
rnacentral:rRNA from 1 species